UCCGGGGAAAGGCCUUCGUCAUUGCUGGAGCAUUUGUUAGCCCACUGGUUUUCCUGGUGAUGGAAAGUUCAAAACCCACAGAAGCAUCACAACUUCCCAGGCUGGGCUUUCCUCUCUGAUCUGUUGAAAAAGUCUUUUGUAAGACUGUGCUUCGAGAUGCGGAGACGGAAAACAAGGAAAGCAGGUCUGGAUCACAGACUGCUGCAUCCUACAGGAUGACUGGCUAGUGGCUGCGGCAGGCCACGGGCCCCGUUCUCUCUCUCUGCACUGCUGCCGCCAUGUUGUCCAGGCCAUGACGGACCAAGGGCCGAAGGACUUCUCCAGAGCUGUGGGGCUGCUUUUCAGGUAUCAGUACUGGCUGCACGCCUGACGCUGUUUCUCCCAGGGGGAACAAUAUGGAUUGCGUUCUGAUGGCUUCCUCCCUCCCUUUCCCCUCACUCCACAUAAAAUAUUAUCUCUUUGGCAUAAGACUGCACAAAAAUGUAAUCUGUUGGAUGGGUACUACAUUCGCUUGGUGUAAAAAGUGAAAAGAGUAUGAAGCGCUAUCCUCUGAGACUGCGCCCAGAUCCAUGUUGUAUUAGCUGGGGGGGAUGGUCAUAGCAGGGUACCACCAACAGGUUUAUGGGAUUAUAGGCCCGCCCUACACCAGUUCGACCUCAUCUUCACUAAUUAUAUCUGCAAUGAACCUAUUCCCAAAUAAGGUCACAUUCUGAGGCACUGGGGAUGGGGCUUCAAAAUGUAAAGUUUU